AGCUGAUAGCCUAUGUGGGUCACACAUCUGUUGCACACCUCCCAGGUACUAAUCCAUUGUAAACACAUAUGCGAUUGUAUAAUAAGUUUUGCGAUGGUAAUUUCACUACUGAACCCUCAAGUAUUAAACCCUACUCUCUUUCUCUCUCAUUUCUGUCUAUCUACUCUAAAACGAAAGCAAAAGACAAAAGAAAAAAACAUAGAAAAAUAAAAUAGAAAGGCUUGCACACUCAACUUACCUUGCUCGAACGAUUCACACCCAAGUGCUCGAUUUCCCCACUCAUCUGUCUUUAUUUUAUAACACGUUAUCAGCACGAGACUCUGCCAUCUCGAGCAAAUACUUUGAAAGCAUCAGAGGCACGUUAUGAUUGGACUUAUCUAAGGCUACAAGAAUUUUAAAUCUAUCACAGCAAUAUCGAGAGAUGGGAUUCAAUAAAUAUUCUGGACUUAUCUCACAUCUUCUUAUAGCCGAGAAACAUAAUGGGCUAUUAAUGUAAAACCAUGAAAGCCGACCUACUGGUUCUUAUCCAUUCCCUGAAGUGAAUGAGACGAUCUUCCACCAAGCUACGCGUGAACGAGGUCGUGUCUCCAGUCGUGGUCAUGGCCGUGGUUGGGGAAGAAACUCUAAUCAUGGUAAUAAUAAUGCACCAAAGAACCCUCGUCACCACCAGCAGUGAAAAGGGAAGGAAUAAAAGCAUGAAGCGGUGCAAGCAACAAAUGCAGAAAAUGCAUGCUAUAGAUGUGGAGGAAAAGGGCACUGGUCAUGUACCUGUCGUACGCCAAAGCACUUGGUUGAGCUUUAUCAAGCCUCUCUGAAGAAGACAGAGAAAAAUGCUGAAGCAAAUUUUAUUUCUGAAGAUAAUUUGGACUUCAUGCAUUUGGAUGUAGCUAAUUACUUUGCACUCCCAGAAUAAGAAACAAGUCAUGUGAGCGGUGAUGAAUCUGUAGAAAUAUAAUUAUUUUAAUUUGUAUUGCUUGUAGUAGAUAGUAUGGUUAUGUAAUUGUUGUACAUAAGUAAAAGUUGUGCU